UUCUCUAAUACAAUACUCUUGAUCACAUUGUUUGGAUUGAUAGUUUAUUCAUGUCUACUAUCCAAUGUGAUUCGUGUGCUUAUAUGAUUACCUUGAAUGUGAUUUGGAACGACUUCCUAAAUAUCAUUCAUACUCCUGCCAAAGAUUCUUAAUCAUAUCAUAGAGUAUUCUCCCUCAAACGGUUUGAAGGUUAGAGAUCCCUUGUUGCGCAUUCAUUUGCCUCCAUGGCUAAGUGGCUUAACCCCGACGAUGCCGUGGACACCCGCCUGAUGGAGUGACUUUGACAUAAUCAAAGAUCAAGGACUUAACCUCAAGACAACUAUGAUGCCUCAAGUCAAAGGACUACUUUGCAUUAUCCCAACCAUGAGUUUUCAUGUGACAUGAGUAUGAGAACACCUCGUUGAUCGUGUUCAGUGGACUCAUUUAUUAUUGAGCACGUACAUGCCUGUCUUGAUGUCACACACACCAAUGACUCGAGACUAGUCACUCUCCCUGAGAGAAGACACA
rnacentral:lncRNA from 1 species